CCUAUAGCAUCCAGCCUGAAAAUGUAAUGCCAGCGGUAGGAGUGGUGGAGGGCUCUGGCUGCGGGCGGCUCCAGCAGACAGCAAAGUGCGCGGUGGAGCGAUAGGGACGAGAUGUUACAAAAGACCUGCCAGUAAUUCAGUGAGCGACGCCGGCCUGAGAUCCCACUCGCUUUUCCCCAGCAUGUCUUCCAUUCCCUUCCUCUCCCGCUUGAGAAGAACGCCUAUUUGCAUUCGGUAUAUUAUAUCUAAAAAUAUAUAAUUAAGCAACUAAA